rnacentral:rRNA from 1 species
GGGUUAAGUCCCGUAACGAGCGCAACCCUUGUCCUUAGUUACCAGCACGUUAUGGUGGGCACUCUAAGGAGACUGCCGGUGACAAACCGGAGGAAGGUGGGGAUGACGUCAAGUCAUCAUGGCCCUUACGGCCUGGGCUACACACGUGCUACAAUGGUCGGUACAAGGGGUUGCCAAGCCGCGAGGUGGAGCUAAUCCCAUAAAACCGAUCGUAGUCCGGAUCGCAGUCUGCAACUCGACUGCGUGAAGUCGGAAUCGCUAGUAAUCGUGAAUCAGAAUGUCACGGUGAAUACGUUCCCGGGCCUU